UUAUGGGACUUAAGAGCUAUCACUCUGUAUUUUAAGUGCUUUCUUUUUUAUGUUUAGAAAUGUUAAUUUCAUAAACAGCCAUAAAGUAAUUGAAAUAAAAAGAUACAUUGUAAAAGCUUUUUAUUUCUAUGAAACAACUUUCAUUCUAAUACCAAAUAGUUAUAUCGGGAAUGUGCUAUGUUCGCUUUAUCUGUAAAAUGAGAGAUGUCAUUUUUCAAUUGGAGACUAUGGAUUCCAUAUCUUCUGUGGAGUUACGAGAUUCUGUACCCAUUUUAUUAUAAUUGCAAUUUUAAGAUGCAUUUCAUUUAUUUAAAAAUGUAUUUUUAAAAAUAAUAUGUACACUCUAAUUACCUGCCAGUUGGACAUCACAGAAUACAGUUUUUCCACCGUCUCUGUGUAUAUAUUUGUACUAUUAAUAAAUGUACACUUGAUUAAAAACACAAA
rnacentral:sRNA from 1 species